AGUCAUAUGAAUGAGAGUCGAAG
rnacentral:piRNA from 1 species